rnacentral:lncRNA from 1 species
GGAUAGGGCUGCAAAGCAACAGGCAUAAAUCACGCAGCUCUUCCCUCCCUGAGCUCCCUUGCAGCCAGCACAUGCACAACACCUCCCUUCUGGAUGAGGCUUUGGCAUGAGAGGCAGAUCCCAUGAAUGCUCCAUCGCGUUACCACAGCAGAGCAGCGCUUGGCAAGCUGAUGCAGGAUACUCCCUCAAGAAAACUUUGAAGGAACAGUGCUGCACGGCUGAACUAGGCAAUUACAAAUAUACCAGACACAGGGCUGAGACCCACCUCACUUCUGUUCUGCUGGAGUUCAUAGAAUCACCAAGGUUGGGAAAGGCCCACAGGAUCACCCAGUCCAACCAUCACCAACAGUUCUCAAGAGUUGCAGCACAGUGAAUCACUCCAACCUUCCCUCAAGGAGGGACAGCACAAUAGGAUCAGCCUCUUCUGCACUGCUCUGAAAUCACAAUUCAGAAAAUGGACAAAGUGGAUAAUAAAUUACUCUUCUUAUGCCAGGUAUUUUCCAUUUUGUGUUUUAACCGUUGUUGGUUCUUGGCACUGUUAAACUGUUAAUGGUAAAUUCAAAAGGAAUUGAGGACCUGGCUUCCUGGAUCGUAGUUUUUGGCUUUCCUGCACAAUAGGAUGAAGCCUGAAAGUCCCUUUUGUUACAUGCAGGUACCCAACUCUACUUCGUUACCAAUUAUCCUUCCUCAGUCUCUCCAUCCCUGUAUUACAUAAGGGUUCAGGUGAGACUCCUAAGAUAUCUGACUGCUUUAGCAUGUUUGGUUUUAUGUCUUUGUUACUUUAUAUCUCUCUUUGGCAGUUACAUCUACCUACAUAAUUGCUCUCAUUAAAAGGCUUAGUCAUGGUCUGAAGUAAGUGUAACCCACUGUUAUCUGUGCACUUAAGCAAAUUUCAGCACAGAAAAUUGGGGUAUCAUCUAAAUAUCAGACUACAGGAAGAUAAAACAAUCUAUACUGAAAAUCCAGAAUAAAAAGAAAUAACAGGCUUUGAAGCAGGCCUACCACCGAUUUCAGCUAUCCCCAAAACUGUACCAGGAAGGUUUUAAAUGGGUUUAAACCUCAGAUUUUUCACCUUUGGAAUUCCAGCCCUGUGACUGGUACGUGUGAGCUGAAAGGAGCACAGUCUGCACAGCGCAGUGCUGCAGGAGUGGCAGUUCUCUGAAACUGGAACCAGUCUUGGAAUUACAGUGGUGCUUCUUUUUCCAGGGAAAGGAAGGGAGUGGAAAUGGAAAAACAUCAGUGAGAAAAACCAAACAGGGCCCAAAAUUCAGAGCUGAGGAAGUCUGCAAUGGAGAAUCUAGUUGAGACAGCUGUGCUGAGGCUGACCUAACCUGGGGCUGACCAAGCAAGUUCCAUGAUGUCAUAUUUUGCUAUGAUGGGCCAUUAAAUUAAGUCGCUGGUCCAGACCUUCCUCCUGACACCUAUUAAAUCUACAGCUUUGGAGCUGGAGUUGUCAAGGUAGCACUGCAUCAGAUACCAGGGGAAUCCACGCACACUGUUACAGAAGAUUGCUGCUUGCAUAAAACCUCUUUGCUCUUUUCUUGAUUGUAUAUUCAGGAUAUAUUUUGCAGGCAUAGUCUACGAUUAGAUUAAACAAGCAAAGGAAUUAUUUAUUGCCUGUCCCACUGCACCUACUGCUUAACACCAGAUGAAACUAAAACAAUGGCUUCUGAGCUUGGGUCAAUAGUCUUCCUCUAUAGUCUACCCUCAAUUUCAAAAGCAUAGAGAAAAAAUGGUUAAUUCUACGGUGCCUGCGUUACAAAAAGGAGGAUUCAUUCAUAUUUACAGCAGCCACAAGAACUUCCAAAUAUAUAUUUUUCCAACCUGAAGGGUUUCAGUGACUUGUUCUACAUUUCCAUAGUAGACAAUAGAUCUCACAUAGCACUGUGAUCCAAUCUGCUUUUCUUUGCAGCAGGUAAUUGUAGGACGUUUUUAGGGAUACCUGUAACCUCACAACAUUGCCCUGCCUACUUCAAAAGAAGCUGUCAUCAAAAAGUAUUACCAGUCAAAAGAGUCAGUGAUACAAUUAUCUUUUUAAACAAACCCAGAAUAGUGGAUCAAACGCACACUACUUUUGAUUAUCCUCAGUCAAGUUUUCUUUAGGGGAUUCUCUGAGCAUCUCCUUCCCCUCAUUCGAAUUAUCAAACUCUCAUUUCUAGACCUCAGAGAACACCUACACGCUCCCUUCUGCUUCCUUCUUCCCACAACCUGAAGUUAAAUGUGGAGCACUUCCUCUGCCACCACUCUUGAAGCCUCAGUGGCCCACCCAACAAUGCCACUCUGUGGCUGGACAGGUAGAGAGAUGUUCUUGCAAUACUCAUUCCUCUUGACAAAUAUCAAUUAUUGUGACCAGGUCUUUUAACAAAAUAAAUACUGACUAGCAGCUAAGAGACUGGCUACUGGCUGCUUCUCACCUCCACCAGGAGCCCUGAAGUGCAGGACAGAAUCCAGGAAAGAUUUUCUGGAAAAUGAAGAGACCCAAUAAAGCCUCUAAGCCCAGGCAAGUCAAUAAACUGUCACAGUUGCCCGGAAGGAAUUGGCUCGUCUUAGAUAAACUCACAAAGGCCCUGAAAAAACACAACUUUUUUUUUUUAAAUGGCAGAGAUUAAUUUUCUGACUUCAAAGUAGUAUUAAUGCAGAACUUGGCUAAGGUUUCCUGUGCAAGCAGUUUCCCCCCGAGCAAUGAUUUCAGAAUCCGCCUUGUUUUAAGGCUGGCAUUUGCUGCAGCUGCAGACCUGGAGUAUUUUCGAUCCCCUCUGAGUGCUGGAACACUAUCCAACAAUUAAACCACAACCCAAAAACAAUCAAACAUCUGUUUGGAGGAAGGCUGCUCAGUGACUGACAUUCUCAUGCCAGCAUAAACACGAAAGCUGCUGAGUGAUUCCUGUCUUUUGUGUAUAUAUGUAUACGUAUGCACCGCUUGUGUAUUUUUUGUUCCUGCAUGCAGAAUAUGUAAAUAUGCUUAAGAGCAUUUUUAUUGCAAUAUGUGGGUGUACUUGUAUAGCUUAUUUGUGGAAGUAUUUUCAUUGGCGUGAACACACAGAUUUGAAUGUCAGCUUGAGAUGUGGUUAUUUGUGUGCUGGAGGUGGUUUUGCAGGAGGCCAAAGCGAACGUGGAUUGGGAGUCUGCAAGCAGGUAUGUGUUUAUGCAGUGCUGCAUGUGUUGGUGUACGUUCAUUUACAGGUAUCAGCUUGAUUUCAUAUGGGCAAAAAUAGCAUUACGGCUGCAUGUAGUUUUGUGGAGAGGCAAGGAUUCUGAAGUGUUUGCAUGUGUGUGUGCACGUGGAACUGACUGCAGCAAGGUGUCUGUGCUUUCUGAUGGACAACUGUCCUAUGCCUGACCUCCACACUCUGCCUUUGAACUAAUCAGAUACUUGGGCUAUAGCAGCCGAUGUCCCUUAUUUUAAGCACCAAAAAGGGACAGACUGCUGGAAGCAGUUCAGAAUUGCGUUCAAAACAGCAGUGAGGUCUGGUCCUGAUGAAAUCCCAGCCUCCUAAAAGUACUGAUUUCAAGAACUCCCAUGGGAACACAACAGGGUAUUGAAGGAUGACUUGUUUCAAGGGCUUUGGAAACAGGAAUGAAUGCUGACAUUAGUUCUCUCUGUCUAGAGAGCAAAUUGCUCUCCUUCCUAAAAGCACUUUUCAGACUCCAUGCAGGUAACUCUUUUUGUCCUAUUUUAUUUAUAGAUUUCAAAUAAUGACGGCCUGGGUAAAGCAGUAUGCAAAUGACAUUCAUUCCCAACAGGAACUCCCUCUGUGUAAAACCAAGACCAGCUUUCAGAAAAUACAACUGUUCCCAAUCCAAGCCAAAUGACAGCUUGUGCUGCUCCCACCGGUUAUCCCCGAACCCCCAAGGUCCACAGACUGCUGCUUGCCAUUUGUGGUGUCUUUAUAUACCUAGAAAUAUGUGAGUCACCACAGCAGGUGCUAGCCAUAACCUGCUUGCCUGAAAACAUCAGUAUCAGAAGUGACAGAAUCUGGGCCACCCACUGGCUGUAUUUCUGGAGCAUCCCUCUGUCUAGGAGGGAGCAGCUGGAGAUCUUUGCUUUAGAGCAUUUAUCAAAUAUCCUGUUGCUGGAGUAUAAGAACACGCCAUCACAGGAAAGACAGACUUGAUGAUCUUCCCACUGUGAGCCCCACAGCUUAACUUAUUGUUGUAGGCUCCUAAUCUUUUGCACCAGCCCUAUUUUUCUUUUCAGCAGUUUAAGCUGAAAAAGUUUACUAGAUAAUAGAUUUGCCUCAGAAAUCACAGGAGGUUCUAUUCCUUAGCAGUUAAGCCAGAGUAAGGCAUGGAGUGCAGUAGAGGAGCACAGAGAAAUGGUAUUCUCCUGCCAUGCCCCCUGCCCAGGUACGCUUCCAUUUGAACUCUUGCAAACACCAGACUACAGCAUUGGUUAGGAUGCUUUAGCAGAUCUGGCGCUGAUGACACGAGACACAGGCAGGCUGAGCCCUUCCCCCUGCCCUCAUGCUGGCCAUUUCAGUGCUAUUCCAGGACGAGCUCCUGGAACUCAGCAAUGCAAAGAUGACAUAAGUGCAAUGUUCAGAGGUUAAAGCUUCCAUCCAUUUCUGAUACUCCUCACAAUACUCAUUUCUUACUUCAUCACAAAUUUUUGUCCUCUUUUUGCACACAGAAGCCAUACAUCCUGACUACAAGAAUCAGCACAAAGAAAACGUGAUGGAUGAUGCUCAUGUGUUUAUACUACACAGCUAUUCUGCUGCAUGGCUUCUCAGAAGCCAUGUCAGUAGCUUGCAUGGUCUGUGUGCUACUGAGUGACCAGAUAAUGACUCUUAACCCUACGUAACAUAUAUAGGAAAUACUUUUAAUAGUGGUUUAGUAAUGAUUGGGUUAGAAGGUGGUCCACUGGAAACGGCAGGCAGUGAGAAAUUUUUCUGAGAGGUUAAGAAGUCAUAGGAUCCACUUAACGCAUAUCAGUUACAUCCCUGACUUCCUAAAGCAUAGCCUAGGAAUAGCUAAGCUCCUCUUUUAACGCUGUAUGUGUGGCAGAACUGGUUCUACAAAAAGUGUAGGAUAAAGAAUGAACUACUGCUGAGUUUAUUCAGGGCCUAUUCAAUUUACACAUGUUGGCAUGCUGUCUUGUAUUUGUUGUUGUGGUUUAUGCAUUUUUCAUUAAAGGAGGAUCCUAGGUGCCAAAAUGUUAACCAUCACUGCUGCUAAUAUUAUUUAGAUUUGCCCUGGGUUCAUAUUAGAAAACAUGCAGAAAAUUUACAAGUACAGAAAGUCUUCUCAUUCAUGGAUUUCUUCCAGCUCUGCUCAUCCCUUUUGUGCUUUCCAAUCCUGUACUAAUUUAUAAGCACUGAUGGAAAUCAAAUCCUUCCUGGUUCCUGCUCCUUCAGUACCACUAACUAUGGCCCUGUUAAUCCGUCCUCCAAUGCUUGUAGCAUAUGAAUAUCUCGGAAUCACUGCUGCUUUGCAGGCUUCUAUGCUAAAUUAAAACACAGCAAAUACGACAUGCGGUCUCUCCGAUUCCAUACAAAGACCCUACAGUAACUCAGGAACAGCCACCACCUGACUCCAGUACUUCAGCUGCCAUGUCAUCAUUAACCUGAACCCGUUUUUAUCCACAGAUUCAAUUGAAACCAGCUACUCAUCAUGAUUUAUGAGAGUCUUUGGGACAGGAGCUGAUCACAUGUAAGCAAGUCUUCAUCUCUAAGAAGCACUCUGAGUUUCUAUUCUGACAAUCUUUGAAUUCUCUUCUUAGGAGUUGGAAAACAUCACUUAGUAGAACUGGGAGGAGGUGUUACAUUCUUAAGCCACAUGUUACACAAGAUAUGUCUGCAAGCAAACCGACAACAGAAGGACUGCUCUUUAUUGUACAAUGCCAUGUUCACUCCUGGCUUUUUCCAACACAGGACCCCUCUACAGGGCAUAACGCAAUGAUUAUGACAAAGGCACUUAAUCAACAUUAGCAGCUGCUCAAUUUCUAACUCUUGUUUUCCCACAAACUCCAUCUCCAGGAAAAUACAGAGUGCAACUCAAGGAAGCUCUCAGCUGUCCUCCACUUCGUGCAUUUCCAAAGCAGAUGUAAAACAACUUCUGGUCUCUCUUAUGUUCCUAUCUUGUUGAUCUGUGAUUUAUGACUGUAAGACCUUGGAACUUUGAACUGUUCAAUUCAAAUGCAUUCUUUUUUCGUUGUAGGAGUUUUAAGUAAUAUCUGAAGCUCUUAAUUUGUGGAUUAGCACAUUUACCUACACCACAAUUAGUCCAACUCUGAGAAAGCCCAAGACUAACUUUUGGUUCAUUACUCUGUCAAUCAAUAAGCAUCACAUGUGCUACCAGCCAUUCACCUAUAGGAAUGCUCCAGUUUGUUUCUACAUUCCCAGUCACCACUGAUUCAUCUGUCCAAGUCAUAUAACUGUUUUCUUUCUUGGUCAGUAAACUAGAUCAAAGCCUUGAUAUUUUUUAAGAAAAAUCUUGUAUUAAAGAGCAUGUGAGACCCUGAGAAGGUGGAGGCAAACACAUUUGCCACACCAGCGCUCAUCUCAGCUGACAACAGCAGCUUCCUGUGCUCUGUCCUGGGGGGAUAAGGGGCUGUUAAAUCCUCACAUCUGCCACCCCAGUGCACAGCUGUGAGUGGCUCAGGGAGAACCAUCCCUGCUUGCCCAGCUGCCCCCUUCUACUCACUGUCACUCAGCAAGUAACUAUUUCACAGGCCUCACAGAAAACAAUGGGAGCUUUCAGGAAUGAAAUAAAAUCUUUACUCUGAUAGGAAGGCAGCUGUGAGACACAUGAAAGCUUCUGCUUGCUGUCUCUUACUUGUCUCACAAGGUUCAGAUCGAAGGAGUCACAGCAAACCAUCUACAGUGAAACCCUUCACAAAGGUCAGUGCUGGAAAGAGUCUGAACAUGUGGUACCCUGCAGAAAGAUGUGUGGAUAGACAGAUAAACAGCUCACUGACAAGGUAGAUGGAUGCAGAAUGAGGAGGAGCAUACAUGGAAACAGAAUAUAAAAGGAAAAAAGUGAUCAAGAAAGCAAAUUGAUUUUCACUGUUUGUUUUGACAUCCCCAAAGAGGACCCCGUGAUCCUGAGGAAAUCCUGAGGAAUCAUUGCUCUCACUGCUGAUAUUCAGCCACCUUUGGGGCAGAAGGCUGCAGCCUUUAACAGCACUCACUUAUCCUAUAAACCAGUUUAUCACAAACUCACCUCAUAUUAAGGUGCUUUAUAACCCUGGGGGAAAAGUAUCACCUGUUAAAGAGCAAUUACCUCUGCAUUUCCCUUUAGGGCUAUUUUCUCAUCUAAGAACUGAUGAGGUCCAACGCUACUUCAGCUUGCUAAUUAUUCUAACUUCAGGACGUUAGUGCUGCUGAUUAGGAAGUGCGCUGCACCCAGAACAUAGAUGAAUUUAUUUCCUACGGGUAUGCAAUGCUGCACACUUGCAGUGUACUCAUACAGCACUGAGAAGUUAGGAAAAUUAACCCAUGUGGUAAUGUGCCCAGAUGCCUUCCAAUAGCUAGGAGGUCAUAUUUAAACGUUUAUUCCACCCGAUGACAAAUCUGAAUUCACAUCCUUAUACUGUCCUUCUGUCUCCUACCACCUCACUUCCCAGCUCCUGUACUCUCCCUGAGGCACUUCUCUAUCUUUUCCCCUCCUUCCUCUCUUGCUCACACUGGACUAUAAAUAAGUCUGCUUAACACAAACAUGCUUGCUCUGAGUAGUUACUUAUAUGAAAAAUAAUACAUGUUUGUAAGCUUCUUUGUCUUUCCCUUCUUCUACAUUUCAGUUUUGAUUUUCUCUUAUGUUUUGAACAGAUUCCUAUUUUCUACGCUUGAAUAACACUCCUGAAAAUGCUUCUUGUUGGUGUAAAUUUGACCUGUGCUGGUACAGCACGAAUCCUUGCAUUUCCCCUGGUGUUACAUUGCAGGUAGGGAAUAAGGUUUUACUGCUGAUAAUACAGAGGAGUUCUUUAUCUUACAAGGUAAGGAUUCAGGCUUUCAGCUCGGAAGCUCAAGAGCUCAAUGCCAUUGAUGACCCAGGGGAGGAGCUGUGAUACAGGAUCCCAUCACUGAUUUCCACGCUGCCAUCUCAUCAUCAAGUAGUCGAAACCCUUAACCCAUGUGAGCACUUCACCAUGCUAGAGAACUCAGCUCCUCACAGAACAGAAAACAAUGACCACUUGUUAAGCAUUUGUUUGAAAGAGGAAGAAAAAGAGUAUUACAAUGAGUGAUUUCAAUCUCUGUGCUGUCAGCUGAAGGUUCCAUGCUGCCAGAAACAAACAAAUGUAUUCCCUGUUUACAAAUGAUACCAAACAUUUUUAACCUCAAAGACUUUUGUAUCUUAUGUUGGGGAUUUUUUGGCGAGUGAAAAGAAAUAACUUUAGUAUUUAAAAAGUAGCGGUAUUUGAGAAUUUCAUUUGAUUACGUUUGUUUGAUAAUACACAACUGCUCUAAAACUGACAACUUCGCUAUGAUAAAAACAAAACAGCUUGGAGGAAAUAAAACGCCAAUAAUAUUUGCAAACUACAUAAAAGCACUUAGUGGGAAAAAUGCUAUUUCACUAACAGUAAGGAAUGACAGGUUAGUUAAAAAUAGAUAAAAGCUCAUAAAACAAAAGGGAACAAAAGUCAUAUAUAUCUAUUAAUUACUAGGUAGCUAGCCUGACUGUGCUGCUGCUAGCAAAAGUGCAGCUGCAUCAUUACUGGAAAAAUGGGACAGGCUAUGUACACAAAUAGGGCUGGAGUUCAAGCAUGCCUGCCCAAAUCCUCUCUGCUACUCCAUUUAGUGCAUUCUUUCUUAUCAUUCAAAGGGCUGCAUUGAAAUGUGCUGAGCUUCACUGUGCUCUGGAUCAGGGUUAAUGCACGUCUGAAUCCUCUGAGCUGGAGAGCUACUACUUAAAGCCAGUUUUGAGCAUUAGCAGAUUAUUUAAAAAUACCUUUGGAUGAAGAUGUAACAGCUCAGAUGGUGUGCAAUAAAAAACAAUGUACAUCUAGAAAGCUGCUGAGAGCUCAAUGGUUGAACUCAUAGAACGUUUCCUUCACUUGGACUCCAUCAGCAAGCAAGCUCCUACCAGUUCAUCUCUUGCCUUCAUUUACAAAUGCAGAGGAUUUAGCUCUCAGUCUCACUUUGGAGUCUCCAUUAGGACAUCUCCCCAAGUUAUGCUUAAAUCUGGUUCUCAUUUGUUCUUCUCCUGAAAUUAUUCAGGCUACUGUCACUACAUGAUUUGUCUUCAUGACUUCCAAAGGAUGAGUGCUGAGAUGGGAUUUGGACAGAAGGAUAAUACUGAGAGGUGAAACCAGGAAGACCUACACAUUUCUCAAAGGGCCACAAUCAGAAUUCCUUAUUUCCAGAAACUGGCUUUACAUUAUUUCUUAACAGGAGAUAAAGCAAAUUCUCUUAGAAGACCAAAACUCUUCUUUUCCCCCCUGCAAAACUGCAAUCUUCCAAAAAUGCAACAACUCUUGAAAUUCUUCAGCCCAAUUCACAGAGAAAACUCAGCCUGCCCAAGACCACAACUUUUUGCCUUGCUUGCACUUUGCUCCUCUGGGCUUGAUUGCUAUGCUAAUUAAACAAGACAUUGGUCAGGUUUUAACAUAGAUAUUCUUUUUUUAUUUUGGUUUCAGCUUCUUGAAAGGUGUCCAAGAAUACCAGGCAAGGAAAUGAAAUCUGCAUCCCAAGGAAACAAUCCCUUUCCAAAAUUGUUAAUCUUUCCUUAUGACAUGUUUUGGAAUACGAAUGUAUCCAGAGGGGGUUUAUUCAGCAAUAUGCUGUGCUCAUGUAAGUGAUCAAAUUGGGGGUUUAUUGCAGUGGUACAUAUGUUAACAAUAACUCAAACUUUUACUCACCCUGCUUCACCACCACAGCUGCUCUUGGUUUUUCUUACAGCCCCACCCAGUGACACUUGGAACACAAGCAGAAACACGUAUGUAUUACAAGGAGCGAUGUUCUACAUUGUUAUUAGAGAACCGGGCUUCCUUCAGCAUGCAACAUUAUCAUAACAAACCCAUGACUACACACUUUAACUGUCACUACAUUGCCUUCCAUAUAUGCUGGGAUCAGCAGAAUUAGAAGCCAGGUCUGGUUGCUACAUAUCACUUCUGAUAAAUUUCUGCAUUACAGCAACUGAAGGCGACUACAGAGCUUUGGCUGUGCCAGAUUCAAUCCAUUCAUAGGUCUGUUCCCCCAGCACGUUUCGUGAAGCUAUUUAGGGGUCAUAUGGAAAUGAAUGCAUGAAGAAGUGAAGAAAAAAGACAUAAUAUUAAACUCUGUAAGUGACUUUUAAGUGAAGACUUUUGCAAAAAGAAAAGACGUAGCAGGUAAGAAAUACAGAGGGGUAUUCUAUGCAUCAUACGGUAUGCAAUGAGCAAUGCUGAAUUUACCAAAAGCUACCAGCAGUUUUGGUUAUUCAGGUGAAGACAACUUAUGCCAAAAAUCUCAGGCAUCUUAAUGUCUCUUGAGACAAAGAUAAAAAAGCAUUCAUAAUCAGAAGUCAGCUCUUAAAACAUACAAUUGGUUCUUAUUUUGAGAAAAGUAGUAACAAGACUUUUUUUAUUUCUUUUUAAUCAAAACAUUGCUCAGAAGCCACAAGUCUCAGAUCAAGAACCAAAUGCGGAAUGCUAAGCGCUCACUAAGAGCUGGCUUGGGCAGCAUGAGUACUACACUAAUUUCUCUUUCAUUCCCUCAGCCCAAAAGCAAAACACAUUUUGCAGCAGCAUCUCAGCUGUUUGCUGAUGACUGAAUCCCAGGCAGGUCAAGAGAAACUUCUUGAACUUCCAAUUUCCAAGAAAGCCAACGAUCCAAGUGAAGUAAGAAGAAAGAAGACAUGCCGUGAAAGACAAAAAGCCUUCUUCAAACACAGCCCUUAAAUAACAGGAUGUGCAUGAAAUCCAAACUUCCUAAUGAAAUAAUUCCAAACCCUUUUGCAAGAAAGAACAGUAUUUUGAUGAAUGGUAUUUGUGACCUUAACGAUAAGCAUUAAUCUGUGCCACUUCAAAACCUCAGAAAAAAGUAGCUGGUAAGUGAGCACCUUGCUAACGAAAACCAGAGGAUGCAUCAUCCUAAUAAUCCAUGAGGAUAACCUGAGGGUAUUUUUUAACAUGACAGAGGCUGUCUCCUUGAGAAGAAAAGGUUAAAGACAACAGAGAGGCGACAGUGACAUCCCAACUACACACCUUAGUGAUAGCACAGCAUGCGCUUCCAUCAAACUACAUGUGGGUUUCUAAAAUACUCUUUCACAAAUCAAGUAAUUUAAGUCCAAAUGAAGUUAAAAACAAACUAAAAAUUUGCAAAUGCUCUGCGUUCACAAAAACAUACCUUGGAGGUUUCACAAAACAGAAUAUUCCCCAAACGGCGCAAUUAUUCUAAUGAAUAUGCCUAUAGAAUAAGUGGCUGCUCAGUAGGAGCAACUAGUGAAGCAUAUUAUGGUGAAAAAGGUAUUUUGCAGGUAUGGCUGUAACUUCAUGAUACCAGCUAGAAAAGAUUCUGCAGGUCUACAGAAGGGCUGUAACGGUGCUCUGCCAAGUUGCUGUCCAGGCAAAUUACACACGCACCGUGUGCUGGUUGCUGGAGAUGGUCUGCUCCGCAGGAGACAGGAUGCAUUGGCAGGCAGAAGCUGAGCAAAUUCCCGUUUGCACAAACCCACAUACAAUGGGAGAGAGAUUAACUGACAGCAACAGGGCUUUUCACAAGCAGACUUCCACCUAUAAAUUAGUACUACUGCAAAAUGAUAAGUGACAGAUGACAGGUUUUUAAAUGAAAUCCAAUGGAAGAAUCUACCUGUCUUGCCCAGAUUCCUACACAUGAAAUACCCUCCUUAGCUGAAUGUGUACCUUGGUACAAUCUCUGACUGGUGUUUUGCAGGAAGUCAGGAUACUUGGGAUCAUCUGAUCUAUAGCUACAUGAGUUUCACUGCCACAUGUACUACAGCAAAAGGCAAAGCAGCGAUCAACAUACAGUGGGCAGACAACGUGGGUAGCGUCAGCUAUGGGUGCUGUGACAGAGUACAGCAAAGUAGGAACCACCCCUUGCAGUGAAGGAAUUCUGAAUAUCAGUCUGAAGUUACAAACAGAUUUUGCUGACUAAGAUAUGAAACAAGCCCAUUUUAAGUAGUUCCAGACCGAUCUGCGUAAAGCAUGCAGUCUGUCUAAUAACAUCUGAUGGGCUGCAAAAGCAGCCAAUGGCUGCAAAGGCCCAGAGUUCCACUGCUGGAUGGAAUCUUUGCAAAUGAGGAGAGCAGUGCUUAUGGUAGAGAAUUCACUAGGAGUCCAAGGGCAGCUUGUAUUGCUAGCAGCAAGGAAUAGUAAAACGGGAGUUCUGUUUGUUUGCUAGAAAGAUCUUGUAGCAAAAAAUACAUUGAAAAUUGAGAAAUAGCUUGCAGUGAUGAACUGGUAAAUGCAACCUUUUUACAGGGGAAUGCCAAAGCAGAUUUUAAACAUUUGGCAGUUUCUCAGAAGCUAGGGGAAGAUUAACUAUGUGAGGGAAAAAUCAGGCCAAGAAACUGAGAACAGCUUUUCAAAAUUAAGGAAAGCCAAGGAGGAACCAAGUCUAAAAAGCAUUUGGAAAGAAAUGUUAAGAUCAUUUCACUUAUAAGAGAUUGAUCUCAGAAUCAGAAGAGUUCUGAACUUGUGGAAGUGGGAAGGAGUCAAAGUUCAGAGGGGGAGCAGCAGAGCCCCAACCUCACAAAGACUACCAAGCAAGGACACACAGCAACCACAGCAAGCAGCAGUGCUCCCAGGGGUGCCAUGGCUAAUGUUGUCUGCAGAGAUGGCUCAUAGGAACGUCACCAAAAUGAACACCCGGCUGACAUCCCCAGCCUCCUCAAGUUUGGUAAAGCUGUGCUCCAGUUUCCAGUGCUUGAAACAGCCUCUGAACACCAGCUCUGCAGGCCUGGACGCAGCACACUGCAUCUCUGCUGCUGCAUUCGUGUUUAUGAAAGCUACAGAAUAUUCCUUUUUAUGCACUCAAAUAACUUUUAAUAUCAAUAGCACCCUGCUGCUAAGAAAUACAACUUAACGGCUGGGUAUUAUUUGUUUUGGAGUAGAAUAUUAUGUUGGGCAGUUUCCCACUGGAAUAUACCUCAGUGUUUUCAAUGUGGCUGUGCAUACCUUGCUUUUUGUAGGCUGUUACAACUGUAAAUGUAUUUUAAAAGCACAUGUACACAUACGUGAAGGAGGAAAUGAGACCAAUAGCUUUUCAAGGUACUAGCAAUAGGAUUAGUUAGAACCAUGCGCUGACUUCAAAAAAUCUCACAUAAGAAAAUCCCACAUAAAACCAGUCUGUAUCUCAAAACUUCACUGCUACCCCAAGGGGGAAGAAAAGGCACUGCAGGACGAAGUGAGAGGCAGCAGCUGUCCUCAAAGGCAAAGGACCUCAGGGGACCCAAACUAUAACGCAAACAUCACCUCUUGCAACAGAGCAGAAGGGAAAAAACUCUCCUUACACUUCAUUUGUAUCACUGUGUAUGCAUUUUUGAUUGAUUCUUAUCAAGACUAUUAUAUUCUACUUCUAGAAUAUGGCAAGUAACAGUGCAGGUAUCUGACUCAAACUACAGAACCUGACAAACAGCACAGCUGCGCCGAAAAUUACUAAGGUGAAAAGGUGGGUGAGAAAAGAGAAAAACUUAAAUAUGGUUUUAGGAGAGAAAAGCUGUUGCUGAAGUCUUUCCUACUUGAGAUGACUCCAAUAAAGCUAUUCCUUCCUUAUCAGUGAAACACAGUCAUCUACCUUGCAGAUCCUUCUCUCAUUCUUACACGCCAAGCACAAAGAUGGAAAAAUUGCAACAAAAUUCUAACUAAGGCAGCAAAAACUCUGUAUGGAAAGAACACAGAACAGAGGAUAAAUAAAGGUUGCUGGUAAAACCUGGAACUUGCUGUGUUCAGCUAAUCCUUCUAAGGAGUUUUUUCUGUGGAGUUAGAGCAGUGAUUGCACCAAUUACAGGCACACUUCUUCAUGAAAUAAAAAAGAGGGAGAAGGGAAGCGAAGCCAAAGCCUCUGAUUUUCUUCUGGCUGAUCUCAAACUGUAGGAAUUCCCCAAUCAAAAGAAUGCUCUGCUCUACCUAAGGAAAUUAUGUUGAUUAGAAUAAAAGCUCCAGAUGUUAACCCAAAACAGUUUGAAGGGGAGGGGAGAAGGCACGCGAGGUGACCCCACCCAGGGCAGGAAGCACAGUGAGAGCCUCAUACCCAACGCCUUGGGACACAGCCAGGGCUCAGCAGCUCUCACGGCUGUCCUCCUUCUCCCCCAGGCAGAUAUAGGAGCUUUUCCAGUUUAACCCCAACACUUCUUUGCAUCCUUUGACAUGCAUUCUUCAGAAAACAUAUAUAAAUCAGAAUAAAAGUUACAUUGAGAACAGUUUUGUUUGGUUUUGAUUUUUAAAUCCAGAAGCAGCAGAACAACUUAUUUCUCCUUGCUAUUUCCAUGCACUUCGUUCCUCACGUCCCCUUUAGGCUGGGUCUCGGUCAUGGACACCGAGCUAUCUCAGAGAGCACAAAGAGGGUUAAAAGGAAAAGCUCUUGCAGAGCAGACACUGCACUUACAGUGAAGACAAAUGUUUUCAUUUUUUGGUAUAGUUGAAGUAGUUUAACUAUUUGUGAGCUUUGAAAAACAGCCAAAGUAAACCAGAUGCUUGUUGCUCAGGGGUCAGUUACCAGCAGCCAAUUAGGGAAAGCUCUUCUAUUAGUCAAAUUUGUACUUUCCUACCAAUCAGAAUAAUGCUUCUUACAUUAAAUGUUUAGGAAAAUAAAAAGGAAAAAGAGUUAAAGCACUGUCACUCCUUCCUGUCUCAAGGAGGAUUAGUCGUCAUCUGAGUAAGGCUGCAAGAUCAGUGCCUAGAAAGUGAUUUUUCUCAAUCAAGCUUUUUUUUUCCCCCCCUGAAGAAUGACUCAGCUAGAAAUAUGGGAACACCACUGCCUGGCUCCAUAAUCCUGCAAACUUGAGCACGGCUAAACUAUGAUAAUACCUGAUAUGAAUAACAGAACAUGGCCAGUCCUGACAACAUCCAGAGUGAGAAACACAUGCCCUAAACCCAGCCUUCCUCCUGGAGAACACAUCCUACAUCACAGUAUGCUGCUUACAUUACACAAAAUGCAGUUGCUGCUGAGCAACAGCGUAGGUCUGGAUUUAUCAAAGAAUUUUCUCCCUCCCUUUCUGACUGCGUAUGUGCAGUUUCAUAGACAAAGUGCUGGUCAUGGUCUCACAUCACUGACUGCACCACAGAGAUCAGGCUCCUGCACAUCACCAGUUAAUCACAUUCUUGAGGGCUUCUUUGGAAAACAAAGCAGCUCCAGUCUGCGUCCAUUGCUUCUCAAAAGCAUAAGCUAUGCCUUCUUCCUAUCUGAAAAAUUCUGACAGAUGAGCCCUAUAUUCACAUAAGUGAUGCACAUAGCAUUAGCAUACCCUAUGGAGAAGGCAUUUCUGCCCUACUCACAGAAUAUGUGAAAAUUAACAUAUGGCUGCAGACUGAAACAAGAGAAUUCAUAGGCCCGUCUCCUCCCAAGCCCAGCUCCUCCAUGCCUUACAGAAAUCUGCUGCAUUGGAGUCUUUUCACACAGUCUGCU